GAUGAAGAACGUAGCGAAAUGCGAUAAGUAAUGUGAAUUGCAGAAUUCAGUGAAUCAUCGAAUCUUUGAACGCACAUUGCGCCCGCCAGUAUUCUGGCGGGCAUGCCUGUUCGAGCGUCAUUACAACCCUCAGGCCCCCGGGCCUGGCGUUGGGGAUCGGCGGAGCCCCCCGUGGGCACACGCCGUCCCCCAAAUGCAGUGGCGGUCCCGCCGCAGCUUCCAUCGCGUAGUAGCUAACACCUCGCGACUGGAGAGCGGCGCGGCCACGCCGUAAACACCCAACUCUUCUGAAGUUGACCUCGAAUCAGGUAGGAAUACCCGCUGAACUUAAGCAUAUCAAUAAGCGGAGGA
rnacentral:misc_RNA from 1 species